GAUGAACGCUGGCGGCGUGCCUAAUACAUGCCAGUCGAGCGAACGGACGAGAAGCUUGCUUCUCUGAUGUUAGCGGCGGACGGGUGAGUAACACGUGGAUAACCUACCUAUAAGACUGGGAUAACUUCGGGAAACCGUAGCUAAUACCGGAUAAUAUUUUGAACCGCAUGAUUCAAAAGUGAAAGACGGUCUUGCUGUCACUUAUAGAUGGAUCCGCGCUGCAUUAGCUAGUUGGUAAGGUAACGGCUUACCAAGGCAACGAUGCAUAGCCGACCUGAGAGGGUGAUCGGCCACACUGGAACUGAGACACGGUCCAGACUCCUACGGGAGGCAGCAGUAGGGAAUCUUCCGCAAUGGGCGAAAGCCUGACGGAGCAACGCCGCGUGAGUGAUGAAGGUCUUCGGAUCGUAAAACUCUGUUAUUAGGGAAGAACAUAUGUGUAAGUAACUGUGCACAUCUUGACGGUACCUAAUCAGAAAGCCACGGCUAACUACGUG
rnacentral:rRNA from 1 species